AGUCGAAGAGUUGGUUUUAGUAUAUACCGAUUGAAGUGAUUAGGGAUCACAAUAUUGAAUUGCCUGCAAAUGUGAUCAUGUGUGAUAAGAAAGGUAAA